rnacentral:rRNA from 1 species
GACGAACCGUGCGAACGUUGUUCGGAAUCACUGGGCUUAAAGGGCGCGUAGGCGGGCACGCAAGUCAGGGGUGAAAUCCCACGGCUCAACCGUGGAACUGCUUGGUAUACUGGUUCUCUUGAGCCACCUAGGGGCAACCGGAACAAACGGGUGGAGCGGUGAAAUGCGUAGAUAUCGUUUGGAACGCCAAUGGUGAAAACAGGUUGACUGGGGGUGUGCUGGACGCUGAGACACGAAAGCCAGGGGAGCAAACGGGG